UCAUGGCUCAGGAUGACGCUAGCGGGAGGCCUAACACAUGCAAGCCGAGCGGUAUUGUUCUUCGGAAAUGAGAGAGCGGCGUACGGGUGCGGAACACGUGUGCAACCUGCCUUUAUCUGGGGGAUAGCCUUUCGAAAGGAAGAUUAAUACUCCAUAAUAUAUUGAACGGCAUCGUUUAAUAUUGAAAGCUCCGGCGGAUAGAGAUGGGCACGCGCAAGAUUAGCUAGUUGGUGAGGUAACGGCUCACCAAGGCAAUGAUCUUUAGGGGCCUGAGAGGGUGAUCCCCCACACUGGUACUGAGACACGGACCAGACUCCUACGGGAGGCAGCAGUGAGGAAUAUUGGUCAAUGGGUGCAAGCCUGAACCAGCCAUCCCCGCGUGAAGGACGACUGCCCUAUGGGUUGUAAACUUCUUUUGUAUAGGGAUAAACCUACUCUCGUGAGGGUAGCUGAAGGUAUUAUACGAAUAAGCACCGGCUAACUCCGUG
rnacentral:rRNA from 1 species